CCUACGGGAGGCAGCAGUGAGGAAUAUUGGUCAAUGGGCGGAAGCCUGAACCAGCCAAGUAGCGUGCAGGAUGACUGCCCUACGGGUUGUAAACUGCUUUUAUACGGGAAUAACGCGCCUUACGUGUACUGCUUUGCAUGUACCGUAUGAAUAAGGAUCGGCUAAUUCCGUGCCAGCAGCCGCGGUAAUACGGAAGGUCCGGGCGUUAUCCGGAUUUAUUGGGUUUAAAGGGAGCGUAGGCCGCAUGUCAAGCGUGCUGUGAAAUGUCCGGGCUCAACCCGUGCCUUGCAGGGCGAACUGGGCUGCCUUGAGCCGAGGAGAGCUGGGGGAAAU
rnacentral:rRNA from 1 species